CCUACGGGGGGCAGCAGUGAGGAAUAUUGGUCAAUGGACGAGAGUCUGAACCAGCCAAGUAGCGUGAAGGAUGACUGCCCUAUGGGUUGUAAACUUCUUUUAUAAAGGAAUAAAACGAGGCACGUGUGCCUUUUUGCAUGUACUUUAUGAAUAAGGAUCGGCUAACUCCGUGCCAGCAGCCGCGGUAAUACGGAGGAUCCGAGCGUUAUCCGGAUUUAUUGGGUUUAAAGGGAGCGUAGAUGGGUUGUUAAGUCAGUUGUGAAAGUUUGCGGCUCAACCGUAAAAUUGCAAUUGAUACUGGCAGUCUUGAGUACAGUUGAGGUAGGCGGAAUUCGUGGUGUAGCGGUGAAAGGCUUAGAUAUCACGAAGAACCCCGAUUGCGAAGGCAGCUUACUAAACUGUGACUGACAUUGAUGCUCGAAAGUGUGGGUAUCAAACAGGAUUAGAUACCCGAGUAGUC
rnacentral:rRNA from 1 species